rnacentral:rRNA from 1 species
UACGUAGGUGGCAAGCGUUGUCCGGAAUUAUUGGGCGUAAAGCGCGCGCAGGUGGUUUCUUAAGUCUGAUGUGAAAGCCCACGGCUCAACCGUGGAGGGUCAUUGGAAACUGGGAGACUUGAGUGCAGAAGAGGAUAGUGGAAUUCCAAGUGUAGCGGUGAAAUGCGUAGAGAUAUGGAGGAACACCAGUGGCGAAGGCGACUAUCUGGUCUGUAACUGACACUGAGGCGCGAAAGCGUGGGGAGCAAACAGG